rnacentral:lncRNA from 1 species
AUGACAAAUAAAUGUAUUAUACCAUCUGUUCCUCUCUGCAGGACUUCCUUUAUAUCAUCACUGACUCUACGCUCUCACCUUAACGUAUCUAAUUUUGACCCAGACCAACUCUCAUCACGAAGGCUGCUGACGGUACAAAGACUCCAGAGAACACCCCUGAUCUGCAGACCCAUCUCCGAACAGCACUGGUGUGUCCUAGUUGCCAGGCUGGCUUCCGUCACGCCGCAGCAGGUGAGACUAAAGCACAAUGCAAAGCAAAGCACCGCAGGAACAUGGGGGGAACAUGCAUCAGGCAACUCAGGCUUUACUCUCAUCAGGAGCAGUGCUGUCAGUAGGUGCAAAAUCAAACAUUCUACUGUAAAAAAAAUCCAUUAAAAAAAAUUCAUCUGGUUUGAAACAUUACAACCAGGAAGUGAAGGUGUUAGUCGCCAUUGAGGUGGUGGAAAGAUAUAACAAGCAGCCUAGCAAAGACACAGCCUACUGUAAAGAAUGUAAUAAGCAGAAUCACAAGUUGCAAACAUAAUGGAAACAUUAUACUGUAAUCGGUACCGACUGUGAAGAUGUGGGUGGUAAUGAACACAUCAGCAUCCUGAACGCAGCUUUUUGGAAUUCGCAUUCAGGGAUUGGCAGGGAUUAGGUUUACGGCUCUGCCAGUUUUUAUUGUGGACCAGUUUGCAGCGUAUUUGUGCUGAAUUGCCCUAACGUCAGCAUUAGCUGCGACUUCAUCACUGUAGGUGUGGAGAACAGCUGAUCACGCGAACAGGAACCUCAUUUCAGUUAUUGUCUUUCUAGGAAACAUCUGCUCUGCUUUAAUAAUAAUUGAAAAACGCCAGAAAACUUUGGAUUAGACUCAAUUUGGCCAAAUCCGGAAGCGCUGCGGAUUGAAACCGUUUUUUUUUUUUGUUUUCCCCCAUUCACAAGUCUAAUCUGUCUGAUCUGCUGAGUGCAUGUGCGCUUCCAAAGGAGAUUGCGUUAGCUCAUGGCUUGGCCAGUCAAUGUAUACUCAAGUCCACCGACUGGUCAUUUACCAAACCCCUGUCCUCGUGUGCCAGGGUCACGUAAAUAUUGGGUGCAUCAUAGUCAUUAUGGCCAAACACUUCAAUCUGAGCUUCAUCCGACCCCACGUGUGAAGCUUUUUCAUGUGUGCAUUUGUUACCUGUAAUCCCCCUCUGCCACUACAGGACUCGUUUUAACAUGGAUGGAUAGCUGACACUUGUCUUCGUUUUUUUUUGUUUUUCUGUCAUAAUAUUGUACGUUUGGUGCCUUGCUUCUACUGCAGGCGACUCCAGAUUGAUACAGUAUGGUAUCAUGGUGCGUUUACACUUGCGUUUUCACUUACGCAUGCUUCUGUACAAUAUGUCUUGCAUUCUGCCUC